rnacentral:rRNA from 1 species
UAGGGGAUCUUCGGCAAUGGACGGAAGUCUGACCGAGCAACGCCGCGUGAGUGAAGAAGGUUUUCGGAUCGUAAAGCUCUGUUGUAGGAGAAGAACGAGUGUGAGAGUGGAAAGUUCACACUGUGACGGUAUCUUACCAGAAAGGGACGGCUAACUACGUGCCAGCAGCCGCGGUAAUACGUAGGUCCCGAGCGUUGUCCGGAUUUAUUGGGCGUAAAGCGAGCGCAGGCGGUUAGAUAAGUCUGAAGUUAAAGGCUGUGGCUUAACCAUAGUACGCUUUGGAAACUGUUUAACUUGAGUGCAAGAGGGGAGAGUGGAAUUCCAUGUGUAGCGGUGAAAUGCGUAGAUAUAUGGAGGAACACCGGUGGCGAAAGCGGCUCUCUGGCUUGUAACUGACGCUGAGGCUCGAAAGCGUGGGGAGCAAACAGGAUUAGAUACCCUGGUAGUCCACGCCGUAAACGAUGGGUGCUAGGUGUUAGACCCUUUCCGGGGUUUAGUGCCGCAGCUAACGCAUUAAGCACUCCGCCUGGGGAGUACGACCGCAAGGUUG